rnacentral:rRNA from 1 species
CCUACGGGAGGCAGCAGUGGGGAAUAUUGCACAAUGGGGGAAACCCUGAUGCAGCGACGCCGCGUGAGUGAAGAAGUAUUUCGGUAUGUAAAGCUCUGUCAGCAGGGAAGAAAAUGACGGUACCUGACCAAGAAGCCCCGGCUAACUACGUGCCAGCAGCCGCGGUAAUACGUAGGGGGCAAGCGUUAUCCGGAUUUACUGGGCGUAAAGGGAGCGUAGACGGCAGUUCAAGUCUGGAGUGAAAGGCGUGGGCUCAACCCCCGGACUGCUCUGGAAACUGCCAGGCUUGAGUGCAGGAGAGGGAG